rnacentral:rRNA from 1 species
AUUGAACGCUGGCGGCAGGCCUAACACAUGCAAGUCGAGCGAGCGGCGGACGGGUGAGUAAUGUCGGGGAAACUGCCUGAUGGAGGGGGAUAACGACUGGAAACGGUAGCUAAUACCGCAUACCAUCAGAUGGGCCCAGAUGGGAUUAGAUAGUAGGUGGGGUAAUGGCUCACCUAGGCGACGAUCCCUAGCUGGUCUGAGAGGAUGACCAGCCACACUGGGACUGAGACACGGUCCAGACUCCUACGGGAGGCAGCAGUGGGGAAUAUUUCACAAUGGGCGAAAGCCUGAUGCAGCCAUGCCGCGUGAGUGAAGAAGGCCUUCGGGUUGUAAAGCACUUUCAGCGAGGAGGCGGUACUCGCAGAGGAAGCACCGGCUAACUCCGUGCCAGCAGCCGCGGUAAUUC